rnacentral:rRNA from 1 species
CCAGCAGCUGCGGUAAUUCCAGCUCUAAUAGCGUAUAUUAAAGUUGCUGCAGUUAAAAAGCUCGUAGUUGGAUUUUGGAUGGGCAGUGUAGGUCUUACUCCAGGCGAGCAAGUACUUGCAUUGUCCUUCUUCCAGUUGAAGACGGCGUUUCCUCUUCAUUGAGCGGAACGUCGAAUUCGACGUCUUUACUUUGAAGAAAUUGGAGUGUUCAAAGCAGGCAAUAGCAAUUGAACAUAUUAGCAUGGAAUAAUAGAAUAGGACUUCUGUCCUAUUUUGUUGGUUUGUGGAUAGAAGUAAUGAUUGAUAGAGAUAGUUGGGGGUGUUUGUAUUGCGUAGUUAGAGGUGAAAUUCUUGGAUCUACGCAAGACAGACUAAUGCGAAAGCAUUCACCAAGGAUGUU